rnacentral:lncRNA from 1 species
CACCCAUGACCGCGAAGGAAGCGUGCAAGCAAAGCGGCGCUCCGUGUUUUAGCCACAGUGUCGGCAGCACGGGGACCCAGGUAGUGCAAGCUUGCAGCCGCUGCGUCCGCCCGACUCGGUCGCUCCCUGGAGACCGCAUAGCUAGGGCGAAGGCGCUGGGGCUCUGCAGCCUGAGCCUGCGUAGACCCUGGGGCGACCCGUUUGCGAGAUCGCGGCAGUGACUUAAGGCACCCCCUGGCAGAAGCGCGUUUGAAUCGGUUCCCGGGCUGCUUCCCAGCCUCUGCCCAGUCUGUGCUGCGCGGCCCGCCGAGGCCGGGAGCCGCGGGGGCUGGAGCCGAGGGCACGCGUGCAGUCGGUGUCUCCGGAAAGCGCGCCCGAGAGCCGCGGGGCCUUCUCUUUUUCCUCUCAACAAGGCAGCGGAAGGCGCCAAGCGAUCCAGGCGGUUUCUCGGAGGGAUCUGAGAGGGAUAGCGGCAUCGACCGCUAUACGACCGUGUGCUUGUUUGACCCGCGUGGGAAGGGCUUGGGGAUCGCGCACUGAAGGUCUCGGAGCGCGCGGGCUACGCAGGGUUCCGCGCUUCUGUGUGUCAGAUUCGAUUCCUGGAGCCUUAUUUCAGAUGAAGACCUACUGCCUUAGCCAUCUCUGUGGAAAUGGGGCCAAGAAGAC